UACGUAGGGGGGCAAGCGUUGUCCGGAUUCAUUGGGCGUAAAGAGCGUGUAGGCGGCCAGGUAGGUCGGUUGUGAAAAACUGGAGGCUCAACCUUCAGAGGUCGACCGAAACCAUCUGGCUAGAGUCCGGGAGAGGAGAGUGGAAUUCCUGGUGUAGCGGUGAAAUGCGCAGAUAUCAGGAAGAACACCCGUGGCGAAAGCGGCUCUCUGGAACGGUACUGACGCUGAGACGCGAAAAGCGUGGGGGAGCGAACGGG
rnacentral:rRNA from 1 species